rnacentral:rRNA from 1 species
UACGUAGGGUGCGAGCGUUAAUCGGAAUUACUGGGCGUAAAGCGUGCGCAGGCGGCGCGUUAAGACAGGUGUGAAAGCCCCGAGCUUAACUUGGGAAUUGCGCUUGUGACUGGCGUGCUGGAGUGUGGCAGAGGGAGGUGGAAUUCCACGUGUAGCGGUGGAAUGCGUAGAGAUCCGGAGGAAGACCGGUGGCGAAGGCGGCCUGCUGGGCAGUUACUGACACUGAGGCGCGACAGCGUGGGGAGCAAACAGG